AUCCAGAUGAUGAGUCCUAAAUACGAUUAAACGCACGUCCUGGAU
rnacentral:hammerhead_ribozyme from 1 species